GACAGAGGUGCCGAGCGUUAGGCGGAAUCACUGGGCUUAAAGCGUGUGUAGGCGGGUCCGUAAGUACCUUGUGAAAUCCCACGGCUCAACCAUGGAACUGCUUGGUAUACUGCGGAUCUUGAGCCACCUAGGGGCAAGUGGAACAAACGGUGGAGCGGUGAAAUGCGUAGAUAUCGUUUGGAACGCCAAUGGUGAAAACAACUUGCUGGGGGUGUGCUGACGCUGAGACACGAAAGCCAGGGGAGCAAACGGG
rnacentral:rRNA from 1 species